GUGAAGGGAGAAGGAUAGAGAAGGAAGAGGGGGAGGAAGAGGAAAAGGAAGGAAGAUAAAGAGUGCACACCGAGUGAACUAAACAGACGAGUCCCUCUUCCCUUCCCCGCUGCGGCUUCACCGACCCCGAGGCGUGACACAGCGGGCCAGCGAGCACCGGCCCGCUGCCUCGCACCACGGCCGCGGGACACUCACUCCCCACUGCCUCCCUGAAUCCUUCCCUCCACCUGGACGCUACCAACUUCUUGCAGCAGAUGCAGUUACCCCGCAGCACCACCACCACCACCAUGGCCUACUCAUCCGCCGCCACCAGCAGCAACAGCCCCAGCAGCGUGGUCGCCCCCUGCAGCAGCGGCGUCACUGCCAUGGUCGUGGUCGUCGCCCCGAGUGAGUACCUUUCCUUCCCUUUGUACCUGCUAAUUACU